AGGCUUAAACAUGCAAGUCGAGCGGGGGAGAUUGCUUCGGUAAUUGACCUAGCGGCGGACGGGUGAGUAAUACUUAGGAAUCUGCCUAUUAAUGGGGGACAACAUCUCGAAAGGGAUGCUAAUACCGCAUACGCCCUACGGGGGAAAGCAGGGGAUCACUUGUGACCUUGCGUUAAUAGAUGAGCCUAAGUCGGAUUAGCUAGUUGGUGGGGUAAAGGCCUACCAAGGCGACGAUCUGUAGCGGGUCUGAGAGGAUGAUCCGCCACACUGGGACUGAGACACGGCCCAGACUCCUACGGGAGGCAGCAGUGGGGAAUAUUGGACAAUGGGGGGAACCCUGAUCCAGCCAUGCCGCGUGUGUGAAGAAGGCCUUAUGGUUGUAAAGCACUUUAAGCGAGGAGGAGGCUCUCUUGGUUAAUACCCAAGAUGAGUGGACGUUACUCGCAGAAUAAGCACCGGCUAACUCUGUGCCAGCAGCCGCGGUAAUACAGAGGGUGCGAGCGUUAAUCGGAUUUACUGGGCGUAAAGCGUGCGUAGGCGGCUUUUUAAGUCGGAUGUGAAAUCCCCGAGCUUAACUUGGGAAUUGCAUUCGAUACUGGGAAGCUAGAGUAUGGGAGAGGAUGGUAGAAUUCCAGGUGUAGCGGUGAAAUGCGUAGAGAUCUGGAGGAAUACCGAUGGCGAAGGCAGCCAUCUGGCCUAAUACUGACGCUGAGGUACGAAAGCAUGGGGAGCAAACAGGAUUAGAUACCC
rnacentral:rRNA from 1 species